AGAGGAAGGAGAAGUUGUAUCAAGGAUUCUAUAGAUGAACCUGCAGAGGGAUCAUUAUCAAAGCCUGCUAAGUAGAAUAACCCGUGAACUUGUACAGCAACUACCGGUGGUCCUUGUGCCUCCUCACCAGGUGUGCUUUUUAAUUGCAUUGCCUCGGCUAAAAACUAACCUCGAUAUGUCUACUUAGGUGUCUCGUAUCACGUUGCCCCCACACUGUGCUUGUAAAGGGUUCUUGGGUUGAUGGGGGCAGAUUCUGUACCCCCAUGUGCCCUAGUGUGCGGUCGGCCUAAAUAUAAGUUGCGGGUGACAAAUGUCACGAUGAGGGGUGGAUGUGAUACCCUUGCCUAAUGUCGUGCGCAUAAGUUUCCCCCAGGUUAUUUUGCUUUUGACCCUAAAGAAUCGUUUCCAAGGAGCCUUGAUUGCAACCCCAGGUCAGGCGGGAUUACCCACUGAGUUUAAGCAUAUCAAUAAGUAGAAAAAAGAAACUUACAAGGGUUUCCUUAGUAACGGAGAGCAAACCAGCAAUAGCCCAGCGUG
rnacentral:misc_RNA from 1 species